CAGCAGCCGCCGCGGUAAUACAGAGGGUGCGAGCGUUAAUCGGAUUUACUGGGCGUAAAGCGUGCGUAGGCGGCUUUUUAAGUCGGAUGUGAAAUCCCUGAGAUUAACUUAGGAAUUGCAUUCGAUACUGGGAAGCUAGAGUAUGGGAGAGGAUGGUAGAAUUCCAGGUGUAGCGGUGAAAUGCGUAGAGAUCUGGAGGAAUACCGAUGGCGAAGGCAGCCAUCUGGCCUAAUACUGACGCUGAGGUACGAAAGCAUGGGGAGCAAACAGGAUUAGAUACCCGCGUAGUCCCUGUCUCUUAUAC
rnacentral:rRNA from 1 species